rnacentral:rRNA from 1 species
AGUGAACGCUGGCGGUAGGCCUAACACAUGCAAGUCGAACGGCAGCACAGUAAGAGCUUGCUCUUACGGGUGGCGAGUGGCGGGCGGGUGAGGAAUACAUCGGAAUCUACUUUUUCGUGGGGGAUAACGUAGAGAAACUUACGCUAAUACAGCAUACGACCUACGGGUGAAAGCAGGGGAUCUUCGGACCUUGCGCGAUUGAAUGAGCCGAUGUCGGAUUAGCUAGUUGGGGGGGUAAAGGCCAACCCAGGCGACGAUCCGUAGCUGGUCUGAGAGGCUGGUCAGCCACAUUGGAACUGAGACAGGGUCCAGACUCCUACGGGAGGCAGCAGUGGGGAAUAUUGGACAAUGGGCGCAAGCCUGACCCAGCCAUCCCGCGUGGGUGACGAAGGCCUUCGGGUUGUAAAGCCCUUUUGUUGGGAAAGAAAAGCAGUAGGUUAAUACCCCGCUGUUCUGACGGUACCCAAUGAAUAAGCACCGGCUAACUUCGUG